rnacentral:rRNA from 1 species
AACGAACGCUGGCGGCAGGCCUAACACAUGCAAGUCGAACGGUUGUAGCAAUACAGCAGUGGCGCACGGGUGAGUAACACGUGGGAACGUGCCUUUCAGUCUGGAAUAACAGCGGGAAACUGCUGCUAAUACCGGAUAUUCUCUACGGAGGAAAGAUUUAUCGCUGAAAGAUCGGCCCGCGUUAGAUUAGGUAGUUGGUAGGGUAUGGCCUACCAAGCCUACGAUCUAUAGCUGGUCUGAGAGGAUAAUCAGCCACACUGGAACUGAGACACGGUCCAGACUCCUACGGGAGGCAGCAGUGGGGAAUAUUGGACAAUGGGGGAAACCUUGAUCCAGCCAUGCCGCGUGAGUGACGAAGGCCUUAGGGUUGUAAAGCUCUUUUAUCAGGGACGAUGAUGACGGUACCUGAAGAAUAAGACACGGCUAACUUCGUGCCAGCCGCCGCCGUAA